rnacentral:rRNA from 1 species
GGUUAAGCGACUAAGCGUACACGGUGGAUGCCCUGGCAGUCAGAGGCGAUGAAGGACGUGCUAAUCUGCGAAAAGCGUCGGUAAGGUGAUAUGAACCGUUAUAACCGGCGAUGUCCGAAUGGGGAAACCCAGUGCAAUUCGUUGCACUAUCGUUAACUGAAUACAUAGGUUAACGAGGCGAACCGGGGGAACUGAAACAUCUAAGUACCCCGAGGAAAAGAAAUCAACCGAGAUUCCCCCAGUAGCGGCGAGCGAACGGGGAGCAGCCCAGAGUCUGAAUCAGCUUGUGUGUUAGUGGAACGGUCUGGAAAGUCCGACGGUACAGGGUGAUAGUCCCGUACACCAAAAUGCACAGGUUGUGAACUCGAAGAGUAGGGCGGGACACGUGGUAUCCUGUCUGAAUAUGGGGGGACCAUCCUCCAAGGCUAAAUACUCCUGACUGACCGAUAGUGAACCAGUACCGUGAGGGAAAGGCGAAAAGAACCCCGGCGAGGGGAGUGAAAAAGAACCUGAAACCGUGUACGUACAAGCAGUGGGAGCACCUUCGGGUGUGACUGCGUACCUUUUGUAUAAUGGGUCAGCGACUUAUAUUCUGUAGCAAGGUUAACCGUAUAGGGGAGCCGCAGGGAAACCGAGUCUUAACUGGGCGUUAAGUUGCAGGGUAUAGACCCGAAACCCGGUGAUCUAGCCAUGGGCAGGUUGAAGGUUGGGUAACACUAACUGGAGGACCGAACCGACUAAUGUUGAAAAAUUAGCGGAUGACUUGUGGCUGGGGUGAAAGGCCAAUCAAACCGGGAGAUAGCUGGUUCUCCCCGAAAGCUAUUUAGGUAGCGCCUCGUGAAUUCAUCUUCGGGGGUAGAGCACUGUUUCGGCUAGGGGGUCAUCCCGACUUACCAACCCGAUGCAAACUACGAAUACCGAAGAAUGUUAUCACGGGAGACACACGGCGGGUGCUAACGUCCGUCGUGAAGAGGGAAACAACCCAGACCGCCAGCUAAGGUCCCAAAGUCAUGGUUAAGUGGGAAACGAUGUGGGAAGGCACAGACAGCCAGGAUGUUGGCUUAGAAGCAGCCAUCAUUUAAAGAAAGCGUAAUAGCUCACUGGUCGAGUCGGCCUGCGCGGAAGAUGUAACGGGGCUAAACCAUGCACCGAAGCUGCGGCAGCGACACUAUGUGUUGUUGGGUAGGGGAGCGUUCUGUAAGCCUGCGAAGGUGUGCUGUGAGGCAUGCUGGAGGUAUCAGAAGUGCGAAUGCUGACAUAAGUAACGAUAAAGCGGGUGAAAAGCCCGCUCGCCGGAAGACCAAGGGUUCCUGUCCAACGUUAAUCGGGGCAGGGUGAGUCGACCCCUAAGGCGAGGCCGAAAGGCGUAGUCGAUGGGAAACAGGUUAAUAUUCCUGUACUUGGUGUUACUGCGAAGGGGGGACGGAGAAGGCUAUGUUAGCCGGGCGACGGUUGUCCCGGUUUAAGCAUGUAGGCUGAUUAUCCAGGCAAAUCCGGAUAAUCAAGGCUGAGGUGUGAUGACGAGGCACUACGGUGCUGAAGUAACAAAUGCCCUGCUUCCAGGAAAAGCCUCUAAGCAUCAGGUAACAUCAAAUCGUACCCCAAACCGACACAGGUGGUCAGGUAGAGAAUACCAAGGCGCUUGAGAGAACUCGGGUGAAGGAACUAGGCAAAAUGGUGCCGUAACUUCGGGAGAAGGCACGCUGGUGUGUAGGUGAAGCCCCUGCGGGUGGAGCUGAGACCAGUCGAAGAUACCAGCUGGCUGCAACUGUUUAUUAAAAACACAGCACUGUGCAAACACGAAAGUGGACGUAUACGGUGUGACGCCUGCCCGGUGCCGGAAGGUUAAUUGAUGGGGUUAUCCGUAAGGAGAAGCUCUUGAUCGAAGCCCCGGUAAACGGCGGCCGUAACUAUAACGGUCCUAAGGUAGCGAAAUUCCUUGUCGGGUAAGUUCCGACCUGCACGAAUGGCGUAAUGAUGGCCAGGCUGUCUCCACCCGAGACUCAGUGAAAUUGAACUCGCUGUGAAGAUGCAGUGUACCCGCGGCAAGACGGAAAGACCCCGUGAACCUUUACUAUAGCUUGACACUGAACAUUGAGCCUUGAUGUGUAGGAUAGGUGGGAGGCUUUGAAGCGUGGACGCCAGUCUGCGUGGAGCCAACCUUGAAAUACCACCCUUUAAUGUUUGAUGUUCUAACGUUGGCCCCUGACCGGGGUUGCGGACAGUGUCUGGUGGGUAGUUUGACUGGGGCGGUCUCCUCCCAAAGCGUAACGGAGGAGCACGAAGGUUAGCUAAUCCUGGUCGGACAUCAGGAGGUUAGUGCAAUGGCAUAAGCUAGCUUGACUGCGAGCGUGACGGCGCGAGCAGGUGCGAAAGCAGGUCAUAGUGAUCCGGUGGUUCUGAAUGGAAGGGCCAUCGCUCAACGGAUAAAAGGUACUCCGGGGAUAACAGGCUGAUACCGCCCAAGAGUUCAUAUCGACGGCGGUGUUUGGCACCUCGAUGUCGGCUCAUCACAUCCUGGGGCUGAAGUAGGUCCCAAGGGUAUGGCUGUUCGCCAUUUAAAGUGGUACGCGAGCUGGGUUUAGAACGUCGUGAGACAGUUCGGUCCCUAUCUGCCGUGGGCGCUGGAGAAUUGAGGGGGGCUGCUCCUAGUACGAGAGGACCGGAGUGGACGCAUCACUGGUGUUCGGGUUGUCAUGCCAAUGGCACUGCCCGGUAGCUAAAUGCGGAAGAGAUAAGUGCUGAAAGCAUCUAAGCACGAAACUUGCCCCGAGAUGAGUUCUCCCUGAGACUUUAAGUCUCCUGAAGGAACGUUGAAGACGACGACGUUGAUAGGCCGGGUGUGUAAGCGCAGCGAUGCGUUGAGCUAACCGGUACUAAUGAACCGUGAGGCUUAACCUU